GCCUACGGGAGGCAGCAGUAAGGAAUAUUGGUCAAUGGACGCAAGUCUGAACCAGCCAUGCCGCGUGGAGGAUGAAGGUCCUCUGGAUUGUAAACUUCUUUUAUCUGGGAAGAAAUCCAUUUUUUCUAAAAUGGUUGACGGUACCAGAUGAAUAAGCACCGGCUAACUCCGUGCCAGCAGCCGCGGUAAU
rnacentral:rRNA from 1 species